CCUACGGGAGGCUGCAGUGAGGAAUAUUGGUCAAUGGGCGCGAGCCUGAACCAGCCAAGUCGCGUGAAGGAUGACUGCCCUACGGGUUGUAAACCUCUUUUAUAAAGGAAUAAAGCGAGGCACGUGUGCCUUUUUGUAUGUAUUUUAUGAAUAAGGAUCGGCUAACUCCGUGCCAGCAGCCGCGGUAAUACGGAGGGGGCAAGCGUUAUCCGGAUUUAUUGGGUGUAAAGGGGGCGCAGAUGGAUAUGCAAGCCAGUUGUGAAAGCUCGGGGCUCAACCCCGGAACUGCUAUUGGAACUGCGUGGCUGGAGUGCAGGAGGGGCAGGCGGAAUUCCUGGUGUAGCGGUGAAAUGCGUAGAUAUCAGGAAGAACACCGAUGGCGAAGGCGGCCUGCUGGACUGCAACUGACGUUGAGGCCCGAAAGCGUGGGGAGCAAACAGGAUUAGAUACCCUAGUAGUC
rnacentral:rRNA from 1 species